rnacentral:rRNA from 1 species
GACAGAGGGGGCAAGCGUUGCUCGGAAUCACUGGGCGUAAAGGGCGCGUAGGUGGUGCUGUAAGUCAGGUGUGAAAUCUCGGGGCUCAACCCCGAAACUGCACUUGAUACUGCAGUGCUCGAGGACUGGAGAGGAGAUUGGAAUUCAUGGUGUAGCAGUGAAAUGCGUAGAUAUCAUGAGGAAGACCAGUGGCGAAGGCGGAUCUCUGGACAGUUCCUGACACUGAGGCACGAAGGCCAGGGGAGCAAACGGG